rnacentral:rRNA from 1 species
UACGGAGGGUGCGAGCGUUAAUCGGAAUUACUGGGCGUAAAGCGCGCGUAGGCGGCGUGUUAAGUCAGAUGUGAAAGCCCUGGGCUUAACCUGGGAACUGCAUUUGAUACUGGCAUGCUAGAGUUUGGUAGAGGCUAGUGGAAUUCCGGGUGUAGCGGUGAAAUGCGUAGAUAUCCGGAGGAACAUCAGUGGCGAAGGCGACUGGCUGGACCAAAACUGACGCUGAGGUGCGAAAGCGUGGGUAGCAAACAGG